CACACUCUCGUUUUGGCUUUCUCUUUCCUUCACACACUCUCGUGCUUCCUGCCAUUGGCGACCUCCGCCAUUGACGACUUCCAGAUCUAGAUGCACCCCAACACUCAAUGUCGCAGCCAGAACCGGAUCCACCAAGACCUAGAUCGAAUUUCCUGUUAUGCUGUUCUUCAUCGGAUCUUUAGGGAAGGCCACCCAUCCGCAUUACAAAGGGAAUGAAUAGAUCAAGAUCUGGUUUUCAUGCGCAAGCGGCAUUCAGUGGUUAUGCAUCUGUUGGGCAUAGUGCUUUAUUCGACAACAAUGAUUGCCAGCUAGAGAUGGGUACAACAGGUUAUGUAUCUCUGUUGUAGCAACAACAGGUUAUGUAUCUCUGUUGUAGCGUUAUUUUAAUGUAAAUACAGAAUUAUUAUGUUCCAUUUUUUUCCUUCGUUAUCGUAUUUAAGUAAAAGAUUCUAAGACUUCAGAAUUUAUGUUAUACUUUUUAUAAUUUCAUAGGUUCCUCUGCCAAUUUUUCUUUCCAAGAAUUGUUAAGAGAGGCCAGUGCUGGCAAAAUUGCAGGGAGGUCAACUUCAAAAUGAUUUGAGUGGAAGACAUGGGGGACAAUGUUGGGGACUAUUGACUCUUAUAGUCGAUUUACAAACUCGGAAGACACGAAGUUGCGAUAUGGCGUUGAUGGAUACCCAGAGGAGUGUACAUCGCAAAGGACUUUUUUGUCUAUAGACAUAGACAAGGAGAUUGAAAUGGAAGAACGAUUAUAUCAAGAGCUUGCUACAUUGAAUCCUUUUAAUGAAAAUAGAGAAAUGGAAGAACACGUUGAUUGGGAAGAGGAAGAAUAUGCUGAUUGGGAAGAACAAGUUCAAACGACUGUGGAAGGCUAUUACAAUGUAGCAAAUUUUGAGAUACAGAGAAAGCCCAAUCAAGAAUUAAUAAACAGUACUAUGAGGAUAUCUUUGCCAGGCAUGUAUGGAUUCAAGGGGUCGCCAAAGAACAUUCAUGAAACAAACGGAACAAUCCAAAUAAGAAAUGACUCGACGGAUGAAUCAGAUAUUGCAAAUUGUCAGGUAGAGGAGAGAGGAUACAACUGAAGGAUGCAGUGCCAAAUACAUGGUGAAGGUCAACAACAUUGACUUUGAUGCAACUCAUCUAAACCAUAGCGAAAUAUUUGGGCUAUCACCAUUUGCUUUGGACUUGUCACAUCCGGAUGCUCCAUUCGAAUGUGUGGCGUCGCUGUACAAUGCACUGAAGAAUUUACCAGAUUCAGAUAAAGACAGGAUUCAGUGCUCCAAAAUAAUAGAUUGGACUGCACUGCGAUGCUUGAGGAAAUGUUUGCUGGCUACCAUAUAACCUACAAUAUUGCUAAAUGCAGAAUGAUACGGGCUCCAGUAUACAUUGAUUGGGACUGGUCACUGUAUGUUUGGAAUUUUGAGCGAGGGACUGUUGUAGUCAUAGAUCCUGUGAAUACGGUAGCAGGAAGAGAAGUGUUAAUGGAGAAACAUGAACCCAUAGUGCACAAGUUGCACAAAGCAAUGCAGAAAUGCAAAGAAGAAUAUUUCAAAGAUCCUGAUGUAGACAUGGAAGAUUGGACAAGGGACUACAUAUCCAUACAAGGCGCAAACUGUGGCAGCACUUGCUCUGGAUUGUACACUAUGUUCUAUGCACGCUAUUUUGACGGCCAAAUGUUAACAAGAAUAGUCACUCCUGAAUCACAAAACAUGCACAAGUUUAAUAUACUACACCAGCUCCUGAGUUUGGCCCAGAACAAUGCAAGCCUGCCUCCGAUUCUAAAAGCAGCGCUUCAAAUGGAAGUUGAAGAAUAGUUUGGAAGAAAGUGCAAUUGCGAAAAAACCAUGAAUCCUAUUUGUCGUAUGUUUAAUUAUAAUGUCCUUAGUAGUGAUACUGUGUAAUCAGCUGUGUUAGCUCGAAUGGCACGAAUUUAUUUUGCAUUUCAAAAUUCGAAACUGAAGGCCGAGAACAUGAUAUAUGUAUUUAGUGAACUGCUUGGAAGAACAUUA